UUGACAAACACUCAGUCGUCUGCGUAUAAACUAACCAAAGAGGACGAACACUAGAACACAAGAAGCUGAAGCAUCUCUGAAAUGACUCCAGCAAGAACUCUGAUCAGACGGAGAGGGAGAGGAGAGCGAGGAACAACGAGACGGGAUCAUCUCCGGAGGGGAACAGCUGGAAACCAGGAAAUACUAACAACUAAA